rnacentral:lncRNA from 1 species
CGGGAAACGUCCAGAACCCCGAAAUGUGGAGAAAACAACCUUCUUUUCACGGGGGCGUGGCCCGCCGGUUGCAGUACGCGAAAUUGGCAAAAUGAUGUAAACAGGGAAGUUCGGCAGAUUUCAGUUCAUUGUAAACUUGCCAAGGGAUCCGCCCACAGACACGAGAGAGCUGCUUUGGGACAGUGAAUUACUCUUCUUUUGAGACGGUCUAAUGAUGCCUGGGUGGUGCCUUCGUAGGAUGGUCGUCACACCUGAACAAGGGGGUCCCUGGCCCCAGGCCCCAUGCUUUACUGGGCCCUGUUCUGUCCCUCUUCUGGCAUCAUCUCCCAUGGAGAAAAGAAUGUGUUGAAGCCAAGAAGAUGCUCCCCCCGCAAGAAUAUCAUCUCUGCUAGAACAGGGCCUUCCUGAGAGUGAAAAUUCAUGUUUGGGGACCUCUGUGGUUAAAAGGUGGGCAGGCUGGAGUGUAACGGCAUGAUCUCGGCUCACUGCACCCUCGACUUCCUGGAUUCAGGUGAUCCCCUCACCUCAGCCUCCCUAGUAGCUGGUGUGUCCGGAAUUGGUGGGUUCUUGGUCUCACUGACUUCAAGAAUGAAGCCGUGGACCCUCGCGGUGAGUGUUACAGUUCUUAAAGGUGGCGUGUCCGGAGUUUGUUCCUUCUGAUGUUCAGAUGUGUUCGGAGUUUCUUCCUUCUGGUGGGUUUGUGGUCUCGCUGGCUCAGGAGUGAAGCUGCAGACCUUCGCGGUGAGUGUUACAGCUCUUAAGGCAGCGCGUCUCAAGUUGUUCAUUCCUCCCGGGGGGUUCGUGGUCUCAUUGGCUUCAGCAGUGAAGCUGCAGACCUUCGUGGUGAGUGUUACAGCUCAUAAAGGCAGUGUGGACCCAAAGAGUGAGCAGCAGCAAGAUUUAUUGCAAAGAAAGACAAAGCUUCCACAGUAUGGAAGGGGACCCAAGCAGCUUGCCACUGCUGGCUCAGGCAGCCUGCUUUUAUUCUUUUAUCUGGCCCCACCCACAUCCUGCUGAUUGGUAGAGCCGAGUGGUCUGUUUUGACAGGGCGCUGAUUGGUGUGUUUACAAUCCCUGAGCUAGACACAAAGGUUCUCCACCUCCCCACCAGAGUAGCUAGAUACAGAGUGUCGAUUCGUGCAUUCACAAACCCUGAGCUAGACACAGGGUGCCGAUUGGUGCAUUUACAAUCCCUUAGCUAGACAUAAAGGUUCUGCAGGUCCCCACUAAACUCAGGAGCCCAGCUGGCGUCACCCAGUGGAUCCCGCACCUGGGCUGCAGGUGGAGCUGCCUGCCACUCCCAUGCCGUGCACCCGCACUCCUCAGCCCUUGGGUCGUCGAUGGGACUGGGCGCCGUAGAGCAGGGGGCGGUGCUUGUCGGGGAGGCUCCGGCAGCACAGCAGCCCACAGAGAGGGGGAGGCUCAGGCAUGGCGGGCUGCAGGUCCCGAGCCAUGCCCCGCAGGGAGGCAGCUAAGGCCGGUGAGAAAUCGAGCCCAGUGCCGGUGGGCGGCACUGCUCUGAGUACAGGGCCUCCACAGCCGCUGGCCCUGGUGCUAAGCCCCUCAUUGCAUGGGGCCGGCAGGGCCUGCCGGCUGCUCCGAGUGCGGGCCCGCCAAGCCCACGCACACCUGGAGCUCCAGCUGGCCCGGAAGUGCCCGCACAGCCCCUGUUCCCGCUCAUGCCUCUCCCUCCACACCUCCUUGCAAGCUGAGGGAGCCAGCUCCGGCCUUGGCCAGCCCAGAAAGGGGCUCCCACAGUGCAGCGGUGGGCUGAAGGGCUCCUCAAGUGCUGCCAAAGUGGGAGCCCAGGCAGAGGAGGUGCCGAGAGCGAGUGAGGCCUCUGAGGACUGCCAGCAUGCUGUCACCUCUCACUGGGACUACAGGUGAGCACCCACACACCCGGCUAAUUUUUUUUUUAUUUUUUGGUAGAGAUGGGGUCUCCCUAUGUUGCCCAAGCUCAUUUAGAACUCCUGGGCUCAAGCAAUCCACCUGCCUCAGCCUCCCCAAGUGCUAGGAUUAUAGGCAUGAGCUACCGCCCCCAGCCUCAAAGUUGUUUUUUAAAAAUGUAAUUAUCUAUUCCCUUUAAGGCACAUAAUUUUCUUAAUGAACCUCUACCCUACUAGGUGGGUAGGAGUUGGGUGAGACUUAAACUUGAAAUGAUAAUGCCUAAAGUUUGUGCGGUUUAAACCCCAGGGGUCCCCAUCACCUGGGCCAUAUUGGCUUCAAAUUGGCUAUAUUUGAAGAAUUGUCUUGGGCCACACAUAAAAUACGUUAACACUAAUGAUAGCUG